rnacentral:rRNA from 1 species
AGGGUUCGAUUAUGGCUCAGGAUGAACGCUAGCUACAGGCUUAACACAUGCAAGUCGAGGGGCAGCGGGAUUGAAGCUUGCUUCAAUUGCCGGCGACCGGCGCACGGGUGAGUAACACGUAUCCAACCUUCCGUUUACUCGGGGAUAGCCUUUCGAAAGAAAGAUUAAUACCCGAUAGUAUGGUGAGAUUGCAUGAUAACACCAUUAAAGAUUCAUUGGUAAACGAUGGGGAUGCGUUCCAUUAGGUAGUAGGCGGGGUAACGGCCCACCUAGCCUACGAUGGAUAGGGGUUCUGAGAGGAAGGUCCCCCACAUUGGAACUGAGACACGGUCCAA